rfam:Felis catus isolate Cinnamon breed Abyssinian chromosome A2, whole genome shotgun sequence.
ACCUGGGUGGCUCAGUCGGUUGAGCAUCUGACUUCGACUCAGGUCAUGAUCUCGCAGUUUGUGAGUUCCAGCCCCAUGUCAGGCU